rnacentral:lncRNA from 1 species
GGACAAUGGUGCACAAGAGACAAGGGUUUACCGAGGUUUGAGCUCUCAAGUUGACAUAAUACACUACUUCUGCUUGUAUGUAGAUUGCUUCUCUAAAACCCUAGAACAGGCUUAGCAAUGAUCUAUUAGAUUAUGCCCCUGAGGGACCCAUGCCCCCCUUACAUACUGGGGGACAUGGUUACAAGAGAUAGCGGCAUGAUUUGAUAAGACUAAGCCUAAACUGACUCGUG